CACUCCUGCGGGAGGCAGCAGUGGGGAAUAUUGGACAAUGGGCGCAAGCCUGAUCCAGCCAUGCCGCGUGAGUGAUGAAGGCCCUAGGGUUGUAAAGCUCUUUCACCGGUGAAGAUAAUGACGGUAACCGGAGAAGAAGCCCCGGCUAACUUCGUGCCAGCAGCCGCGGUAAUACGAAGGGGGCUAGCGUUGUUCGGAUUUACUGGGCGUAAAGCGCACGUAGGCGGACUAUUAAGUCAGGGGUGAAAUCCCGGGGCUCAACCCCGGAACUGCCUUUGAUACUGGUAGUCUUGAGUUCGAGAGAGGUGAGUGGAAUUCCGAGUGUAGAGGUGAAAUUCGUAGAUAUUCGGAGGAACACCAGUGGCGAAGGCGGCUCACUGGCUCGAUACUGACGCUGAGGUGCGAAAGCGUGGGGAGCAAACAGGAUUAGAUACCCGAGUAGUCCCAU
rnacentral:rRNA from 1 species